rnacentral:lncRNA from 1 species
GUGACUGUCCUCUCUGUGUCCCCAUCAGGUGACUGUCCUCUCUGUGUCCCCAUCAGGUGACUGUCCUCUCUGUGUCCCCCAUCAGGUGACUGUCCUCUCUGUGUCCCCAUCAGGUGACUGUCCUCUCUGUGUCCCCAUCAGGUGACUGUCCUCUCUGUGUCCCCCAUCAGGUGACUGUCCUCUCUGUGUCCCCAUCAGGUGACUGUCCUCUCUGUGUCCCCAUCAGGUGACUGUCCUCUCUGUGUCCCCUAUCAGGUGACUGUCCUCUCUGUGUCCCCAUCAGGUGACUGUCCUCUCUGUGUCCCCAUCAGGUGACUGUCCUCUCUGUGUCCCCAUCAGGUGAUUGUCCUCUCUGUGUCCCCAUCAGGUGACUGUCCUCUCUGUGUCCCCCAUCAGGUGACUGUCCUCUCUGUGUCCCCAUCAGGUGACUGUCCUCUCUGUGUCCCCAUCAGGUGACUGUCCUCUGAGUUCACCCCCCUCUUCCAGGAUGAACGGCUACCCCCCUCCCUCCUUCCCCCAGGGAGGGUUCGACUCAUACGCCUCGCAACUCAAUGGUCAUGGUUCCCAGUCCACAGAGCCUCCAGAUUGCAACGCCAGGUCCAACACCAAGUCCAUCUCUAAAACCCUUUACGGUACAGAAGCUACCUGUCAUGUUCUCUCUCUCUCCAUCCAUCCCCCUCUCUCUCUCUCUCUCUCUCUCUCUCUGUCUCUCCAUCC